rnacentral:rRNA from 1 species
AGUGAACGCUGGCGGUAGGCCUAACACAUGCAAGUCGAACGGCAGCACAGUAAGAGCCUGCUCUUACGGGUGGCGAGUGGCGGACGGGUGAGGAAUACAUCGGAAUCUACUUUUUCGUGGGGGAUAACGUAGGGAAACUUACGCUAAUACCGCAUACGACCUACGGGUGAAAGCAGGGGAUCUUCGGACCUUGCGCGAUUGAAUGAGCCGACGUCGGAUUAGCUAGUUGGCGGGGUAAAGGCCCACCAAGGCGACGAUCCGUAGCUGGUCUGAGAGGAUGAUCAGCCACACUGGAACUGAGACACGGUCCAGACUCCUACGGGAGGCAGCAGUGGGGAAUAUUGGACAAUGGGCGCAAGCCUGAUCCAGCCAUACCGCGUGGGUGAAGAAGGCCUUCGGGUUGUAAAGCCCUUUUGUUGGGAAAGAAAAGCAGCAGGUUAAUACCCCGCUGUUCUGACGGUACCCAAAGAAUAAGCACCGGCUAACUUCGUG